rnacentral:tRNA from 11 species
GGAGAUGUGGCCGAGUGGUCGAAGGCGCUCCCCUGCUAAGGGAGUAGGCCCGGAAGGGUCUCGUGGGUUCGAAUCCCAUCGUCUCCGCCA